GGGGGCCCGCACAAGCGGCGGAGCAUGCGGAUUAAUUCGAUGCAACGCGAAGAACCUUACCAAGGCUUGACAUGAACCGGAAAUACCUGGAAACAGGCGCCCCGCUUGCGGUCGGUUUACAGGUGGUGCAUGGUUGUCGUCAGCUCGUGUCGUGAGAUGUUGGGUUAAGUCCCGCAACGAGCGCAACCCUCGUUCUAUGUUGCCAGCGCGUUAUGGCGGGGACUCAUAGGAGACUGCCGGGGUCAACUCGGAGGAAGGUGGGGACGACGUCAAAUCAUCAUGCCCCUUAUGUCUUGGGCUUCACGCAUGCUACAAUGGCCGGUACAAAGGGUUGCGAUACUGUGAGGUGGAGCUAAUCCCAAAAAGCCGGUCUCAGUUCGGAUUGGGGUCUGCAACUCGACCCCAUGAAGUCGGAGUCGCUAGUAAUCGCAGAUCAGCAACGCUGCGGUGAAUACGUUCCCGGGCCUUGUACACACCGCCCGUCAAGUCACGAAAGUUGGUAACACCCGAAGCCGGUGGCCUAACCCCUUGUGGGAGGGAGCUGUCGAAGGUGGGACUGGCGAUUGGGACUAAGUCGUAACAAGGUAACCGUAAGGGC
rnacentral:rRNA from 1 species